UAUUGGUCAAUGGACGCAAGUCUGAACCAGCCAUGCCGCGUGCAGGAUGACGGCUCUCUGAGUUGUAAACUGCUUUUGUACGAGGGUAAACCCCGAUACGAGUCUUGGGUUGAAAGUAUCGUACGAACAAGGAUCGGCUACCUCCGUGCAAGCAGCCGCGGUAAUACGGAGGAUCCGAGCGUUAUCCGGAUUUAUUGGGUUUAAAGGGUGCGUAGGCGGUUUGAUAAGUUAGAGGUGAAAUGUCGUGGCUCAACCCCGAAACUGCCUCCAAUACUGUUGGACUAGAGAAUAGUUGCGGUAGGCGGAAUGUAUGGUGUAGCGGUGAAAUGCUUAGAGAUCAUACAGAACACCGAUUGCGAAGGCAGCUUACCAAACUAUAUCUGACGUUGAGGCACGAAAGCGUGGGUAGCAAACAGGA
rnacentral:rRNA from 1 species